GGGUGACUGCGUACCUUUUGUAUAAUGGGUCAGCGACUUAUAUUCUGUAGCAAGGUUAACCGUAUAGGGGAGCCGCAGGGAAACCGAGUCUUAACUGGGCGUUAAGUUGCAGGGUAUAGACCCGAAACCCGGUGAUCUAGCCAUGGGCAGGUUGAAGGUUGGGUAACACUAACUGGAGGACCGAACCGACUAAUGUUGAAAAAUUAGCGGAUGACUUGUGGCUGGGGGUGAAAGGCCAAUCAAACCGGGAGAUAGCUGGUUCUCCCCGAAAGCUAUUUAGGUAGCGCCUCGUGAACUCAUCUUCGGGGGUAGAGCACUGUUUCGGCUAGGGGGUCAUCCCGACUUACCAACCCGAUGCAAACUACGAAUACCGAAGAAUGUUAUCACGGGAGACACACGGCGGGUGCUAACGUCCGUCGUGAAGAGGGAAACAACCCAGACCGCCAGCUAAGGUCCCAAAGUCAUGGUUAAGUGGGAAACGAUGUGGGAAGGCCCAGACAGCCAGGAUGUUGGCUUAGAAGCAGCCAUCAUUUAAAGAAAGCGUAAUAGCUCACUGGUCGAGUCGGCCUGCGCGGAAGAUGUAACGGGGCUAAACCAUGCACCGAAGCUGCGGCAGCGACACUAUGUGUUGUUGGGUAGGGGAGCGUUCUGUAAGCCGUUGAAGGUGGCCUGUGAGGGUUGCUGGAGGUAUCAGAAGUGCGAAUGCUGACAUAAGUAACGAUAAUGCGGGUGAAAAACCCGCACGCCGGAAGACCAAGGGUUCCUGUCCAACGUUAAUCGGGGCAGGGUGAGUCGACCCCUAAGGCGAGGCCGAAAGGCGUAGUCGAUGGGAAACAGGUUAAUAUUCCUGUACUUGGUGUUACUGCGAAGGGGGGACGGAGAAGGCUAUGUUGGCCGGGCGACGGUUGUCCCGGUUUAAGCAUGUAGGCGGAUGUUCCAGGUAAAUCCGGAACGU
rnacentral:rRNA from 1 species